rnacentral:rRNA from 1 species
GGGUUGUGAGGUUAAGCGACUAAGCGUACACGGUGGAUGCCCUGGCAGUCAGAGGCGAUGAAGGGCGUGCUAAUCUGCGAUAAGCGCCGGUAAGGUGAUAUGAACCGUUAUAACCGGCGAUACCCGAAUGGGGAAACCCAGUGUGAUUCGUCACACUAUCAUUAACUGAAUCCAUAGGUUAAUGAGGCGAACCGGGGGAACUGAAACAUCUAAGUACCCCGAGGAAAAGAAAUCAACCGAGAUUCCCCCAGUAGCGGCGAGCGAACGGGGAGGAGCCCAGAGCCUGAAUCAGCAUGUGUGUUAGUGGAAGCGUCUGGAAAGGCGCGCGAUACAGGGUGACAGCCCCGUACACAAAAGCGCAUGUGCUGUGAGCUCGAUGAGUAGGGCGGGACACGUGGUAUCCUGUCUGAAUAUGGGGGGACCAUCCUCCAAGGCUAAAUACUCCUGACUGACCGAUAGUGAACCAGUACCGUGAGGGAAAGGCGAAAAGAACCCCGGCGAGGGGAGUGAAAAAGAACCUGAAACCGUGUACGUACAAGCAGUGGGAGCACAGGUUUACCUGUGUGACUGCGUACCUUUUGUAUAAUGGGUCAGCGACUUAUAUUCUGUAGCAAGGUUAACCGAAUAGGGGAGCCGGAGGGAAACCGAGUCUUAAUUGGGCGUUAAGUUGCAGGGUAUAGACCCGAAACCCGGUGAUCUAGCCAUGGGCAGGUUGAAGGUUGGGUAACACUAACUGGAGGACCGAACCGACUAAUGUUGAAAAAUUAGCGGAUGACCUGUGGCUGGGGGUGAAAGGCCAAUCAAACCGGGAGAUAGCUGGUUCUCCCCGAAAGCUAUUUAGGUAGCGCCUCGUGAAUUCAUCUCCGGGGGUAGAGCACUGUUUCGGCUAGGGGGCCAUCCCGGCUUACCAACCCGAUGCAAACUGCGAAUACCGGAGAAUGUUAUCACGGGAGACACACGGCGGGUGCUAACGUCCGUCGUGAAGAGGGAAACAACCCAGACCGCCAGCUAAGGUCCCAAAGUCAUGGUUAAGUGGGAAACGAUGUGGGAAGGCCCAGACAGCCAGGAUGUUGGCUUAGAAGCAGCCAUCAUUUAAAGAAAGCGUAAUAGCUCACUGGUCGAGUCGGCCUGCGCGGAAGAUGUAACGGGGCUAAACCAUGCACCGAAGCUGCGGCAGCGACGCUUAUGCGUUGUUGGGUAGGGGAGCGUUCUGUAAGCCUGCGAAGGUGGCCUGUGAGGGUUGCUGGAGGUAUCAGAAGUGCGAAUGCUGACAUAAGUAACGAUAAAGCGGGUGAAAAGCCCGCUCGCCGGAAGACCAAGGGUUCCUGUCCAACGUUAAUCGGGGCAGGGUGAGUCGACCCCUAAGGCGAGGCCGAAAGGCGUAGUCGAUGGGAAACGGGUUAAUAUUCCCGUACUUGGUGUUACUGCGAAGGGGGGACGGAGAAGGCUAUGUUGGCCGGGCGACGGUUGUCCCGGUUUAAGCGUGUAGGUGUGUGUUCCAGGUAAAUCCGGUUCACUUUAACACUGAGGCGUGACGACGAGGCACUACGGUGCUGAAGCAACAAAUGCCCUGCUUCCAGGAAAAGCCUCUAAGCAUCAGGUAACAUCAAAUCGUACCCCAAACCGACACAGGUGGUCAGGUAGAGAAUACCAAGGCGCUUGAGAGAACUCGGGUGAAGGAACUAGGCAAAAUGGUGCCGUAACUUCGGGAGAAGGCACGCUGACACGUAGGUGAAGUGAUUUACUCAUGGAGCUGAAGUCAGUCGAAGAUACCAGCUGGCUGCAACUGUUUAUUAAAAACACAGCACUGUGCAAACACGAAAGUGGACGUAUACGGUGUGACGCCUGCCCGGUGCCGGAAGGUUAAUUGAUGGGGUCAGCGCAAGCGAAGCUCCUGAUCGAAGCCCCGGUAAACGGCGGCCGUAACUAUAACGGUCCUAAGGUAGCGAAAUUCCUUGUCGGGUAAGUUCCGACCUGCACGAAUGGCGUAAUGAUGGCCAGGCUGUCUCCACCCGAGACUCAGUGAAAUUGAACUCGCUGUGAAGAUGCAGUGUACCCGCGGCAAGACGGAAAGACCCCGUGAACCUUUACUAUAGCUUGACACUGAACAUUGAGCCUUGAUGUGUAGGAUAGGUGGGAGGCUUUGAAGUGUGGACGCCAGUCUGCAUGGAGCCGACCUUGAAAUACCACCCUUUAAUGUUUGAUGUUCUAACGUGGACCCGUUACCCGGGUUGCGGACAGUGUCUGGUGGGUAGUUUGACUGGGGCGGUCUCCUCCUAAAGAGUAACGGAGGAGCACGAAGGUUGGCUAAUCCUGGUCGGACAUCAGGAGGUUAGUGCAAUGGCAUAAGCCAGCUUGACUGCGAGCGUGACGGCGCGAGCAGGUGCGAAAGCAGGUCAUAGUGAUCCGGUGGUUCUGAAUGGAAGGGCCAUCGCUCAACGGAUAAAAGGUACUCCGGGGAUAACAGGCUGAUACCGCCCAAGAGUUCAUAUCGACGGCGGUGUUUGGCACCUCGAUGUCGGCUCAUCACAUCCUGGGGCUGAAGUAGGUCCCAAGGGUAUGGCUGUUCGCCAUUUAAAGUGGUACGCGAGCUGGGUUUAGAACGUCGUGAGACAGUUCGGUCCCUAUCUGCCGUGGGCGCUGGAGAACUGAGGGGGGCUGCUCCUAGUACGAGAGGACCGGAGUGGACGCAUCACUGGUGUUCGGGUUGUCAUGCCAAUGGCACUGCCCGGUAGCUAAAUGCGGAAGAGAUAAGUGCUGAAAGCAUCUAAGCACGAAACUUGCCCCGAGAUGAGUUCUCCCUGAGACUUAGAGUCUCCUGAAGGAACGUUGAAGACGACGACGUUGAUAGGCCGGGUGUGUAAGCGCAGCGAUGCGUUGAGCUAACCGGUACUAAUGAACCGUGAGGCUUAACCUUACAACGCCGAAG